rnacentral:tRNA from 1 species
UGGGAGAUCGUCUAACGGUAGGACAGCAGGCUCUGGACCUGCUUGUGGGGGUUCGAAUCCUCCUCUCCCAG